CUACGUGCCAGCAGCCGCGGUAAUACGUAUGUCGCAAGCGUUAUCCGGAAUUAUUGGGCAUAAAGGGCAUCUAGGCGGCCAGACAAGUCUGGGGUGAAAACUUGCGGCUCAACCGCAAGCCUGCCCUGGAAACUGUUUGGCUAGAGUGCUGGAGAGGUGGACGGAACUGCACGAGUAGAGGUGAAAUUCGUAGAUAUGUGCAGGAAUGCCGAUGAUGAAGAUAGUUCACUGGACGGUAACUGACGCUGAAGUGCGAAAGCUGGGGGAGCGAACAGGAUUAGAUACCCUGGUAGUCCCAGCCGUAAACGAUGAUUACUGGGUGUGGGCAUGAAGAGUGUCCGUGCCGAAGCUAAUGCGAUAAGUAAUCCGCCUGGGGAGUACGGCCGCAAGGCUGAAACUCAAAGGAAUUGACGGGGACCCGCACAAGCGGUGGAGCAUGUGGUUUAAUUCGACGCAACGCGAGGAACCUUACCAGAUCUUGACAUCCC
rnacentral:rRNA from 1 species